UGGGGAAUAUUGCACAAUGGGCGCAAGCCUGAUGCAGCAACGCCGCGUGAACGAUGAAGGUCUUCGGAUCGUAAAGUUCUGUUGCAGGGGAAGAUAAUGACGGUACCCUGUGAGGAAGCCACGGCUAACUACGUGCCAGCAGCCGCGGUAAUACGUAGGUGGCAAGCGUUGUCCGGAAUUAUUGGGCGUAAAGCGCGCGCAGGCGGCUACUUAAGUCCAUCUUAAAAGUGCGGGGCUUAACCCCGUGAUGGGAUGGAAACUGAGAAGCUGGAGUGUCGGAGAGGAAAGUGGAAUUCCUAGUGUAGCGGUGAAAUGCGUAGAGAUUAGGAAGAACACCGGUGGCGAAGGCGACUUUCUGGACGACAACUGACGCUUAGGCGCGAAAGCGUGGGGAGCAAACAGG
rnacentral:rRNA from 1 species